CAAGGGCUUUAACCAUUUUAUCUGAUUCAAAGGCUAUACCAGCUCAGUAUUGAGGAGAGAGGCCAUGGCUUCCACAAGGAGUAGUAUUAGGAAACCAAGCCUUUAUGAUGUCAGAUUCUUUGUUUCAUAGAAGAGUUCUUUUCCUGGUAGCCUUCAAUCUGCCUUAAUGGCUUAUCUACUAUCUAGAUGUGAGACUAUUGGGAUGUAUAUGACUCAAGGAUGUUUAAAGAAGGCAAAUGAUGUCCUGUUGAUAGAGGCAUCUCAGGAGAAUGCUGCCAGAAGUGCUGAGGCAGGUGUUGGACAGGCACCAGGCAGGAUUUCAUCGGAAAGAAGAUAUUAAUGGUCAUUAAAUAAAAUCACCGUGGCUCUUCCCUGCCUUUCUUUCUUUGGAUGUGGAUAGUGUUCUUUCUCAUAAGUUCCUCUGGAUUGUUCCGGAUCAUGUGAUAUAGACUUUGAAUGACAGAGGCUGGAAGAAAUGCAAAGGUGUUGGAAUCUUGAGGGAAGAGGAGAUUCCAGGGGAUAGGCAGAUGGUCUCUCUCUCUCUAUCCUGAGACAGCAAUGGGGAAAGUCUGAUCUAAGUCUGGAUCCUAUGUAACAUACAAAAUCCCUCAUUGAACCUUAUCACCAUUUCCCACCAAAGAUACCAAGAAGUGUGACAGAAAUUGGAGAAGAAUAAGAAGCAGCCUAACAAGAUCUUGCACAGCUUCUUGACACUCUGGGUC
rnacentral:lncRNA from 1 species